AAACAUCUUUGAAUUUGUUUGCAUCUAAACAUGAAAUCAUCAUGAUGGUUAAGCAAUGCUUACAAAUUUUUUUUAAAAACAGCCAAUAAAGAUUGCUAAACAGUUUUAAACACGAAGGCGCGGUAUAAAAGGGUGCUUCCAUUGGAAGCAUCGGCUCAUUUGUCAAUCAACCGGCGUGGAGUGAGGAUCAAAUUCAAGAUGGCGGCCCGAGUCAAGUACAAAACAGAGGGGAGAGGUUUCAAAGCGCUUCCUGAUGUAUAAAAAUGCCAACUCUACCUUCUAGUCCGAUAGAAUGUGUAAAAAAGGAAACUCAGUAGAAGUAAAGCUACGAAACCAACAUGAUUUAUGCAAAAAAGGAGCAAACGCAUGAUCGGAAAACAACGAUUUCAAACCUCGACAAAAGUUAUACCCAAGAAGCAAGUCAUGGUGACAUCUGAAUAAUCAACAAGAUAUAUUCCUCAAGAAAAAGCAGAUACAUAGGCAUGUAUUACAUUUUCCAUGUGAUUUUAAAUCAUAAACAUUCCUUUGUAAAGGAAACAUGUUUUGUUGCUAAAAGCUUGAUUGAUGUGUUAGUGAAGUGUAUAAAGCAACCACUCAUAUUUUAUAAACUGCAUUAUAGAUUACACUUUUGAAUAAACCAAAAAGCUUUCUCUUUUAUCCAUUCAGUUCAAGACUUCUCAUUCUUACAGUAAAAGCAAGUGUAGAUACAGGGAGGAUAUCCAUUGAAUGAAAACAGUAAAAGUCAUGUCUCUA